GGCUCCGUAGCUCAGCUGGAUAGAGCGGCCCCCUCCUAAGGGGCAGGUCACAGGUUCGAAUCCUGUCGGAGUCGCCA
rnacentral:tRNA from 1 species